GUUAUAUGGUCAAGUGAAGAAGCGCAUACGGUGGAUGCCUUGGCAGUCAGAGGCGAUGAAAGACGUGGUAGCCUGCGAAAAGCUUCGGGGAGUCGGCAAACAGACUUUGAUCCGGAGAUGUCUGAAUGGGGGAACCCAGCCAUCAUAAGAUGGUUAUCUUACGCUGAAUACAUAGGCGUAAGAGGCGAACCAGGGGAACUGAAACAUCUAAGUACCCUGAGGAAAAGAAAUCAACCGAGAUUCCCUUAGUAGUGGCGAGCGAACGGGGACUAGCCCUUAAGUGGCUUUGAGAUUAGCGGAACGCUCUGGAAAGUGCGGCCAUAGUGGGUGAUAGCCCUGUACGCGAAAAUCUCUUAGUCAUGAAAUCGAGUAGGACGGAGCACGAGAAACUUUGUCUGAAUAUGGGGGGACCAUCCUCCAAGGCUAAAUACUACUGACUGACCGAUAGUGAACUAGUACCGUGAGGGAAAGGCGAAAAGAACCCCGGAGAGGGGAGUGAAAUAGAUCCUGAAACCGUAUGCGUACAAGCAGUGGGAGCCCACUUGUUGGGUGACUGCGUACCUUUUGUAUAAUGGGUCAGCGACUUAUUUUCAGUGGCGAGCUUAACCGAAUAGGGGAGGCGUAGCGAAAGCGAGUCUUAAUAGGGCGUCUAGUCGCUGGGAAUAGACCCGAAACCGGGCGAUCUAUCCAUGGGCAGGUUGAAGGUUGGGUAACACUAACUGGAGGACCGAACCGACUACCGUUGAAAAGUUAGCGGAUGACCUGUGGAUCGGAGUGAAAGGCUAAUCAAGCUCGGAGAUAGCUGGUUCUCCUCGAAAGCUAUUUAGGUAGCGCCUCAUGUAUCACUGUAGGGGGUAGAGCACUGUUUCGGCUAGGGGGUCAUCCCGACUUACCAAACCGAUGCAAACUCCGAAUACCUACAAGUGCCGAGCAUGGGAGACACACGGCGGGUGCUAACGUCCGUCGUGAAAAGGGAAACAACCCAGACCGUCAGCUAAGGUCCCAAAGUUAUGGUUAAGUGGGAAACGAUGUGGGAAGGCUUAGACAGCUAGGAGGUUGGCUUAGAAGCAGCCACCCUUUAAAGAAAGCGUAAUAGCUCACUAGUCGAGUCGGCCUGCGCGGAAGAUGUAACGGGGCUCAAACCAUACACCGAAGCUACGGGUAUCACGUAAGUGAUGCGGUAGAGGAGCGUUCUGUAAGCCUGUGAAGGUGAGUUGAGAAGCUUGCUGGAGGUAUCAGAAGUGCGAAUGCUGACAUGAGUAACGACAAUGGGUGUGAAAAACACCCACGCCGAAAGACCAAGGUUUCCUGCGCAACGUUAAUCGACGCAGGGUUAGUCGGUCCCUAAGGCGAGGCUGAAAAGCGUAGUCGAUGGAAAACAGGUUAAUAUUCCUGUACUUCUGGUUAUUGCGAUGGAGGGACGGAGAAGGCUAGGCCAGCUUGGCGUUGGUUGUCCAAGUUUAAGGUGGUAGGCUGGAAUCUUAGGUAAAUCCGGGAUUCUAAGGCCGAGAGCUGAUGACGAGUCAUCUUUUAGAUGACGAAGUGGUUGAUGCCAUGCUUCCAAGAAAAGCUUCUAAGCUUCAGGUAACCAGGAACCGUACCCCAAACCGACACAGGUGGUUGGGUAGAGAAUACCAAGGCGCUUGAGAGAACUCGGGUGAAGGAACUAGGCAAAAUGGCACCGUAACUUCGGGAGAAGGUGCGCCGGUGAGGGUGAAGGACUUGCUCCGUAAGCUCAUGCCGGUCGAAGAUACCAGGCCGCUGCGACUGUUUAUUAAAAACACAGCACUCUGCAAACACGAAAGUGGACGUAUAGGGUGUGACGCCUGCCCGGUGCCGGAAGGUUAAUUGAUGGGGUUAGCUAACGCGAAGCUCUUGAUCGAAGCCCCGGUAAACGGCGGCCGUAACUAUAACGGUCCUAAGGUAGCGAAAUUCCUUGUCGGGUAAGUUCCGACCUGCACGAAUGGCGUAACGAUGGCGGCGCUGUCUCCACCCGAGACUCAGUGAAAUUGAAAUCGCUGUGAAGAUGCAGUGUAUCCGCGGCUAGACGGAAAGACCCCGUGAACCUUUACUAUAGCUUUGCACUGGACUUUGAAUUUGCUUGUGUAGGAUAGGUGGGAGGCUUUGAAGCGUGGACGCCAGUCUGCGUGGAGCCAACCUUGAAAUACCACCCUGGCAACUUUGAGGUUCUAACUCAGGUCCGUUAUCCGGAUCGAGGACAGUGUAUGGUGGGUAGUUUGACUGGGGCGGUCUCCUCCUAAAGAGUAACGGAGGAGUACGAAGGUGCGCUCAGACCGGUCGGAAAUCGGUCGUAGAGUAUAAAGGCAAAAGCGCGCUUGACUGCGAGACAGACACGUCGAGCAGGUACGAAAGUAGGUCUUAGUGAUCCGGUGGUUCUGUAUGGAAGGGCCAUCGCUCAACGGAUAAAAGGUACUCCGGGGAUAACAGGCUGAUACCGCCCAAGAGUUCAUAUCGACGGCGGUGUUUGGCACCUCGAUGUCGGCUCAUCACAUCCUGGGGCUGAAGCCGGUCCCAAGGGUAUGGCUGUUCGCCAUUUAAAGUGGUACGCGAGCUGGGUUUAGAACGUCGUGAGACAGUUCGGUCCCUAUCUGCCGUGGACGUUUGAGAUUUGAGAGGGGCUGCUCCUAGUACGAGAGGACCGGAGUGGACGAACCUCUGGUGUUCCGGUUGUCACGCCAGUGGCAUUGCCGGGUAGCUAUGUUCGGAAUAGAUAACCGCUGAAAGCAUCUAAGCGGGAAACUAGCCUCAAGAUGAGAUCUCACUGGAACCUUGAGUUCCCUGAAGGGCCGUCGAAGACUACGACGUUGAUAGGUUGGGUGUGUAAGCGCUGUGAGGCGUUGAGCUAACCAAUACUAAUUGCCCGUGAGGCUUGACCAUAUAACACCCAAGCAAUU
rnacentral:rRNA from 1 species